UACGGAGGGUGCAAGCGUUAUCCGGAUUCACUGGGUUUAAAGGGUGCGUAGGUGGAUUGGUAAGUCAGUGGUGAAAUCCCCGAGCUUAACUUGGGAACUGCCAUUGAUACUAUCAAUCUUGAAUACCGUGGAGGUCAGCGGAAUAUGUCAUGUAGCGGUGAAAUGCUUAGAUAUGACAUAGAACAUCAAUUGCGAAGGCAGCUGGCUACGCGAAUAUUGACACUGAGGCACGAAAGCGUGGGGAUCAAACAGGAUUAGAAACCCCCGUAGUCC
rnacentral:rRNA from 1 species